rnacentral:rRNA from 1 species
AUUGAACGCUGGCGGCAGGCCUAACACAUGCAAGUCGAGCGGAGCGGCGGACGGGUGAGUACUGCCUAGGAAUCUACCUGUUAGUGGGGGAUCACGUCCGGACACGGGCGCUAAUCCCGCAUACUAUAAGAUCAGCCUAGGUCGUAUUAGCUAGUUGGUGGGGUAACGGCCUACCAAGGCGACGAUCCGUAACUGGUCUGAGAGGAUGAUCAGUCACACUGGAACUGAGACACGUUCCAGACCCCUACGGGAGUCAGCAGUGGGGAAUAUUGGACAAUGGGCGAAAGCCUGAUCCAGCCAUGCCGCGUGUGUGAAGAAGGUUUUCGGAUUGUAAAGCACUUUAAGUUGGGAGGCGUUACCAACAGAAUAAGCAACGGCUAACUUCGUGCCAGCAGCCGCGGUAAUAC